GGCGAGCACGUUCCAUGGCUGCCUCACUCUCCCAGCCAUAAGCAUGUGUCCGGGAGUGUGGGUUUCCAUAGUAGUUGACCAGGCUAUGUGAUCUACAAGGGCCAGGACAUGACAAGAGUCCACAUGUUGAUGAAACCUUCCAUUAAUAUCGAAGUGCUUAUCAUGUGCCAGGCUCUGUUUAAAGGGCUGCUUUAUGUCUUUUAACCCACGUAAUACUUGCCCAAAUUCACACAGUUAUUAGUAAGUGGCAAUCCAGCUAAUUCCAGAGCCUAUGCAUUUAACUACUACCAAAGUGCCUACAUUGAAGUGAUCUCACCAAGGUCAACAGCUGGAUCCAGUCAUUUAUGUGCAUUGUCACUUCUGCAACAUGUUAUAAAUAGCCUUGGGGAAAGCUGCCCCUCUAUCCUUACCAGAGGAGUUGUAGCUUGGACGUCCAUAUACAGAGGUCGCAGCACUGACUCCACGUCCGGAGCAGUGGCUGUAUCUGAGGGAACAGCGGACUGGGGGGCAUUAUCUACAACUGACAACAAAACAAAAAAAAAAAAAAAAAAAAAAAGGUA